rnacentral:lncRNA from 1 species
GCCUCUGUGGGCUUCUCCUUUGCCCCAUGUCAUCACUCUGAUGCCUGUCUGCAUCCCCACCCUGACCCCAAGCUGACUGCUGCCCCACCCUGGGUCACCCCAACCCUCUCACACAAGUGCACUUGGUUCACCGACAGGCUUGUGCCAGCUGCAGCAGUAUCCCCAGGGAUUGCCACCUUGCUCAUGGGUGAGCAGGGAAUCUAGGGCCUGCUCCGGGAUGAUUUGUUCUGGGUGUUGGGAGAGGGAAUGGAGCAGAGGCAGAGUCCUAGGCUGGCACCGUGAAAUAGCCUGAUGGCCUGUCCUGUAAGAUAGCAAGGGCCAGAAUGGGGAGACCCUCAAGAAGGAGGAGGAGAAAAUGUCUCAGGGACAGAGAUGGGGUCAACAGAAUGCCCAGGAUAAGGGGAGGAGUGCACACGGUCAAUGGAGAGGAGAAGACACACUCACUGGGUAGAAAGAGAUGAGAUCAGAACGUAAGGGGCCCAAACUGGACAUGCCCCUGGAGCUUGGGCAUCUAGGAGGCCUCUGGCAGCUGGUUCAGCUCCAAGAGGCCCCUGGCCUACAUUGUCUCUUCCCUCCCAACCCGCUUCCUCAUCCAAUUCAAUGUGGAUCCUUGCAUUACUUGUGAGAUGGCAAAGAAGGGGCUGCGAACUGUUUGGUUAGAUGUAGACACUGAGGCAGAGUGAGAUAAGUCAAGCAGACAGACAUCAGGGUCAGAAGCUAAAGAAAAGUGGGGCUGGGAAGCUGGGCACCGUGGCACACACCUGUAAUCCCAGAGACUUGGGAGGCUGAGAGGUAGGAUUCCAAGUUCAAAGCCAGCCUCAACUCAGGGAGACCCUGUCUCUAAAGAAAAAAAAAAUACAAAAAAGGGCUGGGGAUGUGGCUCAGUGGUUAAGUGCCGCAGGGUUCAAUCCCUGGUACCAAAACAAAACAAAAAGGCUGAGUGCCACCUCCUGUGGGCUGGAAGGAGCCUGGCUGGGCUGCGUGGGACACUCCUAGACCCACAUCCAGCCACAGCUUGGCCAAGAGUGGCCAGUGUGACCAAGGGAGGGAGGCUGGUCCUUUUGAGAAUAAUCUUGGCUAUGGCAACCAGGCUGGAGGAGGGACUGG